UUAAAAUCAAUUAAUCACAUUAUGGACAUUUAAACCACAUCAUUAUCAAAAACAAGAAAAUAAGAAAGAGAUUAGGGUUGUGUUUACGUGAGAUGCUCACGUUCUUCUUCUUCUCUCGUCUGGACUCGACGGCGCGGCGGUGGAACCAUCUCCGGCGAGAUCUUUCAAUUCGUCAUCAUAAUAAGAAGCAAACACAUCCUCCUUCGAUCUCAUCCUUCACCUCUCAACUCUUUCUUCUUCUCAUGAACAGCGGCGGCCGGUGGAUCUUCCUUCUCCGAUUCUCACUCACCACGACGGCGGCUCUCUCAGCAAGCUCUCUUUUCCGGUCUCGAUCUCUUAAGCCUUCGCUCUCUUUUCCGGUCUCGAUCUCUUAAGCCUUCGCUCUCUUUUCCGGUCUUCUCUUUUCAGGAUGAAGAGGAGAAUUGAAAGGUUCUGUAUGAUUGAAGAUGGCGAUUGAUGAUUGAUGAUGAUUGGAGUUUAUGUGUGAUGCGUCGUAGUGUGGUCGCUGUUGUUGAAGUUGAAGGCGGUGAAGAUGAAGCGCGAAGGUUUGCGAGGUAGUGCGGUGACGAUCUUGCAGAGCAAUUGAGAAUCGAACAUGUGAAGAUGAAGAUUGGUUCGAGAUUGAUUAUUCAGAGAUGGUGAAGAACGAUCGAUGUUGGAAAAGUUUGUUACCGAUGAAGAUUCCAGAUGAUUCAGAGAGAGUUUGUUGCGUUUUUUUAGAAGUUUUUAGAGAGUUUUCUGUGAAUUGAAGUUGUUGGUGAAUCGGUGAAUGAAGGUUGGAGAGAAAGAUUGAAGGUUCGAAGGAGAAAGAUGGUUGAAGAAUGUGUGAAUUCAGAGAAAGGCUUGGAGAUUGAAGAUUGUGGAGAAAAGUUUGUUACAGGUUUCUGUUGCGUUAGAGAGAGUUCAAGAUUGGGAGAGGGUUCGUGCAGAAGAUUACCUACCCUUUGUUAUGAGUUUGUUCUCUCUUCUCUCGUUGCAAUUCUCUCUUGGAUUUCGGUUCGUUUUUUAUCUACUUCAAUUCUCGGUUUUUUCUUCUGUUGGAAUUACCGAACCUACUUCAAUUCUCGGUUUUUUCUUCUGUUGGAAUUACCAAACCGAUUUUCUUUUGCUCAGUCAUCACGGUUUGAAUGAAUGCAGGAUUGAGGUGCAGCUGCGGUUUAUUUUGGUUUCGGAAGCAGCUUGAAGAUUAGAGAUUAUGAUAGUUCGCUUGUGAUCGAAACCGUUUCGCUUUCUUUUUGUGUACAUGCCCUUUUUUUUUCAAAUUGAAUUUGGAAUGUAUGGUCUUUUGUUAUAUCUGCAAUGUAAUGGAUAUUUGAAUGAACAUGUAAUGUUGAAUGAUGAAUCUAUGAACUUGUGCUUCAAUGGUUUUUUUUCAUUACA